GCAGGUGGUGCGGCGAUGGGAGGAGCGUCGGGAGGUGCAGAUGACUCUCUUCACCGAGGAGCUCGAGUGCCUUGAGCGGUCGGAGAAGCAGUAUCAGGUCCUGAUCGAAACCUUACUUGCCAGCAGAAAUUCCUAGAAUAUUUGCAUAUUUGUAAUAUUCGAAAUAACACACAAAUGCACUACGUAAAAGAAAAUGCCAUGAACCAGUAACUAAUUAUGCGCACUGUUCUGAUAUUUGCUAUCGUCUGUAAUAAAAAAGAACCGUCCACAGAAUACCGCUGUAAAAGAUGCACAGAGUUUUAGCAACUUUCCAUUCUGUUGCUGCAUCUGCAACUCAGCAUCUCUACUGGCCCUAGCCCAUUAUAUUCCCUUUGAACCAAGAAACCCAAUAACCGCCCUUUGUAGUGGAUCGCCGAGAGGUCAUCAUUUCUGAAGAUCUUAGUGACCUCAUGCAGACAGGUUUCUUCUAGCCUAGACUACUGGCCUUGCACUUCUUAAUCCCCAGUGGGUGAGGACGUCUUAAUACUUACAGAUCUGAGACUAAAGAAGGGCAAAGCAACUGUUGAUCCUCAAAUCGGUGUAUGCGCUUGUGCAUUUGGAUUGUGUCAAGAACCGGACACUGAUUAAGAAGGGAGCCGGCAGCAUGUAAUGCGCUGGGCUGAAGAGGCGGUUACUUCAACUUUCCCACUUCCCCUAACUUCCAAGAUGGCAUAACCUCCUACUUGGUCGGAACUAGAUAUGCAAGGUAUGCAUCAUUCAGAUUCGGCGGAGCGGGCAUGGCAAGUCUAUAGUCAGUUAAGAAUAAAAUACUGAACUGCACACAAUAAUAUUAUAUAUUGUAUUAUAUUAUACUAUUAUAUAAUAUAAUUAUAUGAUUAUAAAAUA